AACCAAGAGAAAUCCAAUUCCCCAAAACACAUUCUUUGGCAAAACCCAAUAUGAAGGCCACAAAUUGUGUUCUUGCCACAAUGGCAUUGUUAAUAUUAGUGGUAGUGGUAAAUGGAGGUGAUGAUCAACCAUCUUCAGUAAAGCCAUUGGUGAAGACUGUGAAGGGCAAGAAGUUGUGCGACAAGGGAUGGGAGUGCAAAGGCUUGUCUGCAUAUUGCUGCAACGAGACUAUUUCUGAUUACUUCCAGACCUACCAGUUUGAGAACUUGUUUUCAAAGCGUAAUACACCUGUGGCUCAUGCAGCAGGAUUUUGGGACUACCAUUCUUUUAUAACUGCUGCUGCGGUUUACCAGCCUCAUGGGUUUGGUACCACUGGAGGAAAACUCAAGGCUCAGAAGGAAGUUGCUGCUUUCCUUGGGCAUGUGGGCAGCAAAACUUCGUGUGGCUAUGGAGUGGCCACAGGAGGACCACUGGCCUGGGGCUUAUGCUACAACAAGGAAAUGAGCCCCAGCAAAUUGUACUGUGAUGACUACUAUAAGUACACCUAUCCAUGCACUCCUGGAGCUUCAUACCACGGCAGGGGUGCCCUGCCUAUCUAUUGGUAUGCAUCUCUUUUAACCAUAUGAUGUGCAAUUCCAUACUUAUUUUAUCCGCUUAAAUGGCCAAUGCGAACAGGAAAGCUCGAAAAUUUUAAAAUUUCCUGAGAAAAUGAUUGCUUCCUUUUUGUUCCCCCUCCUUAAUUUUCUCCUUUAACUGAGAUACUUGAAAUAUAUUCAUUUUAAUAUAUUUCAUCUAAAUUGCCACAUUAACCAUGCUCUACUUAAUUAUUUCCUAAAAAGGAUUAACCAUACUCCACUUAAUUAUUUCCAAAAAAGGAUUCCUAAUUUAUGGGGAAAUAAAAGUAAAAUUAGAUGAUUUUAUAGUUUCUUUCAAGCAAUUUUACUGGUACUUGUAUUUUCCUAUGAAAGGCAGGAGCACCACCCACCUUUCGGCAGAAAGUUGGUAGAAUAAUUUCUUCUUUGUGUGCGAACAAGAAGUAAUAUUCAGAUUUAUAGUUCAAUUCUACCUCUUCUGAAAUUCUACCUAUUUGACUAGAUGCCCCCCAAAUCCUAAGAAGCAUUUUGUUUUCUUUUUUCACUAAUGCUUUUGUUACAGGAACUACAACUAUGGCAAGACUGGAGAAGCCCUGAAGGUUGAUUUGUUGAAUCAUCCAGAAUACAUUGAAAACAAUGCCACACUAGCAUUCCAGGCUGCAAUUUGGAAGUGGAUGACUCCAGAAAAGAAGAAUCAACCAUCAGCUCAUGAUGUAUUCGUGGGCAACUGGAAGCCUACCAAGAAUGACACUCUGUCCAAGAGGGUACCUGGUUUUGGCGCUACCAUUAAUGUUCUCUACGGAGAUCAGGCUUGUGGGAAAGGCGACGAUGAAUCGAUGAACAAUGUCAUCUCUCACUACCUAUACUACCUAGACCUGAUGGGUGUUGGCAGAGAGGAGGCAGGGCCUCAUGAAGUGCUUAGUUGCGCCGAACAGGUUCCUUUCAACCAAGCUGCUCCCUCUUCAUCAUCUUCUUGAGCCUUUGCUUAUUGGUGAAGGCAAUGGUAAAUACUAAAUAGCCUGUCCAUUAUUGAGCUGUUCCUCUGAAAGGAAAGAUUUUAAUAAGGGACGGGGCAGGUAUAGUUUUGAGCAUGUGUACAACUUCUGAGAAGAAGAAAGAAUCCGUUCAAUUCUUGUUUUUGGUUUGAAUCUGCUAUUUUCUGGACAACUAUGGUGUAUAUUGAAUCAUUUAUGCCUUUCCUUGUUUAUGUGCAAAUCUUGAGAUUUAAUUAUGCUUGAAACCUGCAUAUACAGUUUGAU
rnacentral:misc_RNA from 1 species